CCUACGGGAGGCAGCAGUGGGGAAUAUUGGAUAAUGGGCGAAAGCCUGAUCCAGCCAUGCCGCGUGUGUGAAGAAGGCCUUCGGGUUGUAAAGCACUUUCAGUGGGGAAGAAAGCCUUGGGGCUAAUACCCUCGAGGAAGGACAUCACCCACAGAAGAAGCACCGGCUAACUCCGUGCCAGCAGCCGCGGUAAUACGGAGGGUGCGAGCGUUAAUCGGAAUUACUGGGCGUAAAGCGCGCGUAGGCGGUCUGAUAAGCCGGUUGUGAAAGCCCCGGGCUCAACCUGGGAACGGCAUCCGGAACUGUCAGGCUAGAGUGCAGGAGAGGAAGGUAGAAUUCCCGGUGUAGCGGUGAAAUGCGUAGAGAUCGGGAGGAAUACCAGUGGCGAAGGCGGCCUUCUGGACUGACACUGACGCUGAGGUGCGAAAGCGUGGGUAGCAAACAGGAUUAGAUACCCGGGUAGUC
rnacentral:rRNA from 1 species